UUCGGCAUUUACCAGUAGCAGAUGUUGUUGAUGGUGGCGUUGGAUGGCAGCUGGUCGCGACGUCUCCCAUUCUACUCUUUAGACACUUGUGAAGGACACGUCACUGGUCACUACGUGGAGUCAAGUCAAAGGGCAGAGGGAAGAGGGGAGGAAGAGGACAGAGAGAGCAGAGGAGCUGAAGGCAGACGGAAGGGAGAUAAGGCAUAAAAAUGAAUCAUUGGAGCUUAUCCCUGGGGUUGGUAUUGGGUGUGCUGGUGCUAAGAGAAGCCACUGCCCACACGCACCACCUUCACAAUGCCCAGAAAGAGCGAGAGGCAGAUGGUGCCAGGACCCCACGAGACCACGGCCAUUACACCAAUGGCGAACACAAUGCUGAUUUUGACCAUGAAGCAAUUCUAGGGAGUGUCAAGGAUGCAGAAGAGUAUGAUCAACUCCCAGCUAUGGAGGCGAAAAGACGUCUGGAGAUCCUGCUUGUGAAAAUGGACCGCGACAAUGACAAACAUAUUGAUCGUAAGGAGCUCCAUUCUUGGAUUCUCCGCUCUUUCAGAAUGCUGUCAGAGGAAGAGAGUUCUGAGCGCAUGGAUGAGGUGGAUGAAGAUGAAGAUGGGUAUGUCACCUGGGCUGAGUACAUUGCCGAGACCUAUGGCAUCAAGGAGCCUGAGGACCAGCAGCUCUUAGACCAGGAGGACCAAGUUGAAGAACAGAGGCUCUUGCGUGAGGACCGACAGUUAUUCAAUGCUGCAGACAAGAACAUAGAUGGAAGACUGGAUGAUAUGGAAUUCCUAGCCUUCUCGCAUCCUGAGGAGAGCCCCGACAUGCUUCCUAUUAUCCUGCAGCAGACGCUAGAGGAGAAGGAUGCCAACAAUGAUGGUCUCAUCGACUUCCAGGAAUACAUUGGGGAUAAAGAGUUCGAAGUCGAUGAAGAUAUAAUGAUGAAUCGUGAAUUUGUGCGCAAGCAUAAGCCAGAUUUUGAUAAGUUGGACUUAAAUAAGUCUGGUUUCCUUGAGGUUGAUGAGGUUGGGCCUUUAAUGGAAUCAAACAAGGACAUAGCAGAGGAUGAGGUGGAUCAUCUGUUUGCUGCAGCAGAUGAUGACAAUGAUGACUUGCUGUCCUUCUUGGAAAUCCUUGAUCACCAUGAUGUGUUUGUAGGCUCGGAAGCUACAGACUACGGUGAUCACCUGCACAACCUUGACCGCUUUGACGACGAAUUGUGAGGCUGUGAUGGGCAUCUCGCAGAUAGAUAGGCCUAGUUGUGAGAAAUAAGAGUCGAGAGUAGUUCUGCAUGAUGUUGGUCAGCGUCAAUGGGAACUGCAUGGAAGCUCUGCAAGAAUGAAGUGCUCAUGUGCUGAUACAGAGGUUCCUUGUGAGAAUAGAGUGUGCCACUUCCCCUUUUGUUGUUCGUGUUGUUAUUUUAUCAUGAAUUUUUCUGUGAAUUUUAGUUAUGUAGUCCAGGAAGAAAACCUGUUAGUAAUUUAUAGUGCCUGUAUAUGCAUUUAUCAUUUGUUUGGGCAUUAGAAAAGGAAGUGUGAAUGUAUUAGUUACAAAUCUUGCUGUAAAAGCCACCUUGCAAGGUCCAUUGUGUGUUAAUUGAAAACAAUAUGCCUUUCUCAACUCUUUGAUUAAUCUUUGUCUUAUGAUAUUAUAUUGAAUAAUUGUUUUUAAUUUAUUGAUUAGGAUAUUGUCUUUUAUGUAUCAAUUUGGAAAAAAUAAUAAUUCUAACGUGAUCAAGUCUAAUUACAAAAGGUAAACGCAUUAGCCUGUGCAAUGAAAGCCACUCAAGACUUUUUUUUUUUUUUUAUAUAUAUAUAUAUCAACAAGCAGCUACAUUACUAUAGGAGAGUUUGAGGGUAACCAGGUUAGCUUAAAAAUAGUGUUGUUGUAACAUUUAUGCUUUUGAAAUUUAACACAGCGAUGUAGUCUAAUUUGAGUCCAGUGGAUGUUUAUGCAGCAAGCCCUACUACUAUAGGGUUUUAUGAUCAGGACAGUUCAGGCUAAUCAAUUCAGGUUUCCAAAAAGGCUUCCAGGGUGACAUCCUUCAAGAAAUCAUGAGUCUUCUCAAGUGUCAUUCACUGCUACUUGGCUUCUUAAAACUUUCUGUUGUAUAGAUAACAACCUCUGGCCCAUUCAUCAACACGCACAGCUGGAACAUUCAACUUGGGCCAUCUGUUAUGUGUCCAGUUGCAAAAAGGAAUUUCAGCUAUUGAAUCUUUUCAAUGCAUAUUUAGGCACACUGUUCACAUCUUGACUUAGGCAACGAUACAAUAGCUGUGUAGAUUUGACACGACUACCAGUAAUUAUUUUGCACUUUCACUGCCGAUUCUUUUUGUACUUUUUUUCUCUAAUUUGACUUCUCUUUGAGACCUCACUCGUGCAUUUUCUAACUUCACUUUUGCACCUUGAAUUUGCAUUUGUGAGUGCCUGCAUUCUUGUGUUGUGCUUACUCCUAAUAAUUUUUUUUCUUUUAAUUUUGGUAAUGAUGAGUAAUGACUGUGAAAAGUAUUGUUUUAAAAUCAAAACAGAAGUUAUUUUUUUAAAACUAAUAACUCUUUUGUAAAUUAAGUUUAACAGAUUGCUUUGGAUAGAAUACUGAGUAAUUAAACAAAUGCCAUUAACAUGAAACUUACUUUGCAUAGCAGGGUAAAAUGAAUUCUAGCAAGGGUCAGUACAAUUCUGUUUUGAAUUUGUCAGAUGAUAAAGAAUAUGUUUAAGCAGAUUUAUAGUUCUACAACAAUUGCAUAGAUAAAAUAUGAUAAAUUUAACUUAAAUACAUGAAUGUUUUAACAUUUCCCAAGUCUGAAAAGCAGAAAGAAAUGUGAACUGAAAACUAGCCAAGAACUUUGUACACAAUGCUUUUAUUUCUAUUUUUUUGUAUCCAAGUGCCAUAUGUCCAGCUGGGGCACUGGGCUUAAUAUAUUGUUUUGAUUUUUU
rnacentral:misc_RNA from 1 species